GAGCAAAGCUCAGGAAGAAGUGUGAUUAAAUGGUACCCACAUGUGUGCUGCUGAGAAGGAUGUACAGGGGCACCUGCAGCCAAAUCCAAGCCUCCUCAGAGCAGAGCAACAGUUUGUGCUCACAGAUGGUGACGGUGUGGAGAGACGGUGGUGUUUCCUCAGAAGAACCAGCAGAGUCACCAAGGGCACGAGUCCAUCUCACCACCUUGACUUGCUGACUGAUGCACUGCACAGAGGAAAUGAACUAACCGAGGAGUGUUUCUGAGUGAGGGAGAGAGGACUCAUCAUCCAGGUAAAGUGACGUGGAUCAGUGGAUACACUUGUCUCCCCUUUAAAGGAGAUAGAGAGACGAUCCGAGUCAUCCUUAAAUAUGGGCAGAAUAUCAGUCUUGGACUGUCUAACCUGCCGGAGCAGCACUGAAUGAUCAACAUGAGCAUGUUCCUGCAACAUUCAGCAUCUGAUCUGCCAUCUGUGUGCUUCUGCUUUUGUGUCAAAUGUCAACCAGCUGGAGAGGAAACUACACCAGUGUACUGGGAUGUUUCAUCAACACGUGCCAGAUGCUGUUCCUUCAUGGUGACAUCACCAGAGACAGCCCCGCCCACCUCAGGACCUCGCCAUUGAUCAUGAUGAUUAUAAUGAUGACAGCGAGCGGAACUAAGACUGUAAAAAUCCACGACCAGAAUGUUUAGAUGCUUUCUAAUUAUUCAUGAAUACUGAGAGCCUCUUUCUGUGUUUUGUCUGUUUUGUUUUGUUUUUUACCUCAUUUGUUACUAACAAAGGUCACCAAACUCACACAGUUUACAUUCUGUAUGUUUCCAUCUUUACCAGCCACAG